UUGAUUUAUAAUUAGUUUGUGAAUAAACUCACACUUUCAUUAUAAUGGUUGAUCGAAUAUAUCAAAUGCAUUUGAUUGGUUGAUGGUCCCUUACUGUCGUUCCAAUUGAAGUGUUCCUCAAAUAUUGAUUCAAUACAUUACCUCGGGCUGACCAAUUCAUUUCAUCAAGUUCCUCGAGAUCAACCUCGUUCCCAGGCUCUUUGCUCUUGGGAAGCAAAGACCCUGGUCGGGGCUUAUGACGUC